CAACCUGCCCACCACUUGGAGAUAACCUUGCGAAAGUAAGACUAAUACCCAAUGAUAUCUCUAGAAGACAUCUGAAAGAGAUUAAAGAUUUAUCGGUGAUGGAUGGGGAUGCGUCUGAUUAGCUUGUUGGCGGGGUAACGGCCCACCAAGGCAACGAUCAGUAGGGGUUCUGAGAGGAAGGUCCCCCACAUUGGAACUGAGACACGGUCCAAACUCCUACGGGAGGCAGCAGUGAGGAAUAUUGGUCAAUGGACGAGAGUCUGAACCAGCCAAGUAGCGUGCAGGAAGACGGCCCUAUGGGUUGUAAACUGCUUUUAUAAGGGAAUAAAGUGAGUCUCGUGAGACUUUUUGCAUGUACCUUAUGAAUAAGGACCGGCUAAUUCCGUGCCAGCAGCCGCGGUAAUACGGAAGGUCCGGGCGUUAUCCGGAUUUAUUGGGUUUAAAGGGAGCGUAGGCCGGAGAUUAAGCGUGUUGUGAAAUGUAGAUGCUCAACAUCUGAACUGCAGCGCGAACUGGUUUCCUUGAGUACGCACAAAGUGGGCGGAAUUCGUGGUGUAGCGGUGAAAUGCUUAGAUAUCACGAAGAACUCCGAUUG
rnacentral:rRNA from 1 species